rnacentral:misc_RNA from 1 species
GAUGAAGAACGCAGCGAAAUGCGAUACGUAAUGUGAAUUGCAAAUUCAGUGAAUCAUCGAGUCUUUGAACGCACAUUGCGCCCGGCAGUAAUCUGCCGGGCAUGCCUGUCCGAGCGUCAUUUCUACCCUCGAGCGAGUCCAGCAUCUAGGUGCUGGGCCUCGCCCGGCGUUGGAGCACUACGGGAAGCCCUGUGCUGUCCCCCGUAGGCCCCGAAAUGAAGUGGCGGUCCUGCCGCGGCGCCCCCUGCGUAGUAUAACAGCUCGCUUCGGGACCCGGUGGAGGCCUGCCGUCAAACCUAUACUCUCUAAGUUUGACCUCGGAUCAGGUAGGGUUACCCGCUGAACUUAAGCAUAUCAAUAAGCGGAGGA